rnacentral:lncRNA from 1 species
UCAUGAUCAACAGCUCCUAAAUCGCGAUGCGUCAACAACUUCGAAUCCGAUGAACCCAACCCAUCUAGCUCCACAUUUACCCGCUACCAACCCAUUCGUGGUCUUCCUCACUCCGUCACACUCGAGUCCAUAUGAGAAAGACCUAGAAGCUUCUAGAAAAGUGAUGCAUCAGCCCCUUCUAAUGUUCGAAUCGUAGAUCUUUCGGGUUGAUUGGUACGAUUUCGUACGUAGUUGGGGGAUUUUCAUUGACUAUUGAAUACCAUUUAUUUUUUCGAAAUGGUAUUGGUCCACGUAUUUCAAUUUCUUUGAAAAUUGGCAAUUGAUACCAAUUAUUAGUUGGAAAUUACAUCUUUAGUUGGAAUUUCAAAUUACCUCCACAGAAAAUCCUGAAAUUACCCUCGAUUGGUCUCUGUAGAGAGCUCACUGAUGAGCUGGGAAGGGGUUGGAAUUUUUGGUAGUCUAAAAAGGUUGAAAAAAAUUUAGGGUUUUCGUUUUCAGCUUGAGAGUCUCUUUUAGGGUUGGAGUCCUGGGAGUCAGAAAUUGGGUUUUCGACUUUUGGGGUUCAAAAAUCAGAGUUUGAAGAUCCUGGGGGUCAGGAUUCUUUUUUAUGUUCUCUUCUUUGAGGGUUCAAAUUUUUGUCCAGCAAAUUCUAGGGCCUUUAUUCAGGGAAGACAGAAGCCGUGAGAAACGAAGUUUUUCGAAAGUCGGGUUAGGAACUCUAAAAUCAAAAAGUUAUUUCGCAUAAUUUUCUCGUCACUUCUUUCUGGAAGCUAGUCACUCAAUUGGGAGUACCCGAGUUGACAACAUCAAGUUCCCAGCAAUGAUUACUAUGCUGAUAGCUCGUUUGUUCCAUUUUGCUACCCCGAAGGAGGUAAACAUACUCUUACCCCUUUUAACUUAUCGAUUUCUUCUUUAUCCCUCUUUCUUUAUGGUAAUAUUUGUUUGUUUGUUGAUGAAUAAGGCUGGGUUGUUCGCUGUAAAAAGCCUUAAAGGCCGUAGGUUUUGUGAAAGCAAUGUUGUCUGUAUUGUCUGGUUAUGAUGGUUUUGCCUUAGUUUCUAUUGCUUAUUUUGACAUUGUUGAUUAGUUUUGUCCUGUUUCUUAUUAAGUAUAGUGACCGUUGUGUGGGUCGAUGGUUUAUCAUCUAGAGUUGCUCCUUUGAUGGUCGUUCUAUUAUUUAUCUAAGUGUCAUUGGGUUUCAUUCGUUGUUAUUGUAGUCUAAAGUAUUUAAUGAAAAAUCCAAAGAUCUCUCGACGGUCGUGUCGUUUGAUCGAAAGAGAGGAUUAGAAUGAUUUGAUGACUCAUUCGUUGUGACUGUUUGACAUAGUUUUGGACUGUGUAUUUUCCUACUCAGCUGGUAACAUUGCUAGCAGAGCUGCCUCUCAAGUCUCUUUGGCUUCUCACGUGCCAAAGGGAUAAUGAGUAAGAGCCAAGAUGGGCUAUAAAUGCCUGUGAUUCCUCGAUGAUCAUAUCGGCUACCAAAAGCUUAUCCUUUUGGGUUUGUCGAAAAAAGAGUGAGGAUGAGGAUAGUAGACUUUGCUACGUUUCCAUUUGGUUUAAUGGGUUAUGUCUUUUGCCUCGUCUUAAAACUCGAAUUUUAGACUCCCAUCCUUCCUUGGGUUUCAUCCUCAGUGGGGAGACACAUUAGAAGGAUAAACAUGGUAAUAUUUUGGGGUACUAGAUAUUCGAAUGUGUCCUGUUCAGGGCAGUAGCCUAAUUUUGUUGUUAUCAUACUGCAUAUAAUUUAUGUUCAGGCUAAGGAUUCCCAAGGAUCUUUCUUUGUCAACAAUAAUCAAGAAGGUAGGGAUGAAUUUGCAUUUAUGUUACAUUCAAUAUAGGAUUAGGGAUGGGACAACACAUCAUAACUGUUUGUCUUCAUCCUGAAAUACCUGCUGCCAGGACCUAAUGCGGCAGGUAACUUAAGCACUCUUCCAGAUUCAAAUAUUUUUUUUGUGGCCAGGUGUAAUUAAGCUGUUGUCAUUGUCGAGGUUAUUAUUUUAAGUGAUAGAAAAAGCUAAAAAUUGGAAGAAAAUUGGUUUUCUUCGAAAGGGUAAGAAGUCAGCUACGGCUGCGAAUCAUGAGACAAACAUUAGGGAUCUCGUUCUCCAGGCUACUGUUGUGUGCUUUAUGCUUCGACUUCCUGAUGUUUACCUCCUUGAUAGAAUUUAAUAGCAUGUAAAUGUCUUCAAAACCUCGUCCAUCUGCUGACUAUUAUGUUUAGCUCGACAGAAUUUUGAAAUCAGUUUUCCUUUAGUGGUGUUGUUGGAGUGACCGAACAUGAAUCAUAGGUUAUUCUGAUCAUGAACAUCUCUCAAACAAACUUACAGUAUGUUAUGCAUUAUCUACGUUGUCCCUCAUCAUACGCUCUUGGGUACCAAGCAUGUCGUUUAUGCCAGAAUGUAAAUAAAAGUUUGCAUCAAGACAUCAUUUACUUAGCAUGCUAUUUGACUAUAUGAACACACCCUCAUUCUUUCUAAUUAGUCUUUCCUACAUUUUUGCUUUCUCAUGUGAUCGAGUAUAAGUGGUCGCUCUAUGCUUUAUUUCUUCAAAUGCUCCUACGCUACAUACCUUAUUUAUUUCCUUGAUUGGAUUUUUGUGUUUACAUUUUUCAAUUCCCUUUCUUUUUUUAGUUGAUCAUGUCUUUACAUUCUUUAUCUCUCCUGUUUUGCAUGAAUCCACAGUGGAGUUCAAGUAGACUAUCUCCGGUGCAUUCCUCAUCGGGCCAAUGAGGCCUAUCUUAUUGAGUCCAGUCCAAUGACCUAAAAGUGACCCUGCGGUGAUGAAUACGAGGAGUUAGAAAAAGAAAGGCGAGUUAAAGACCCACAUUUAAAGUGGCUUGAGUAACUCUAAUCUUGAUGAUUUCUACCAUGAAAAUGGCCUUGGUAAAGGCAUGCACAUAAGGUGUUUGUGAAAAUGUCUAAGUAAAUUGUCUAGUCUUAUGUUGGUGAUGUUUUGAACAAGGAAAAUGACCCAAUAAGUAUGAAUUAUUAUUAUAUGAUAUUGUAAAAGUAUUACUAGCCAUGUAUUAUAAAAUUGAUGAUCGUGUUAGUUGAUGGUUAAUGAGGGGUUAAAGUUUCUAUUCAUGAAUAUGAACUUGAAUUGUGUGUUGAACUAAAGUGUGGUAAGAAUGUGGUCUAAGAUUACUAAUGAUAUGUGAACAGUUUGUGAAGGUCUUGAUGACCUUAAAUAGGAUUGUAUAAUAAAUUAAGUCAUUGGUCUAUUGAAAUAGUUGAGCAAUGAAGGCUCCCAUGAGAACCAUAUGGUCAUGUAUAGUAUUGAAUUGUCUAAAUGGGUUAAAGUCCUUAAGUGUGAAUUGAAUAGCUGAUGAUUUAUGGACAAAGGGUUGGAGUCCUAAUGUCGACUAGUGAUAGUCGUAAUGGCUCGAGGUUAAAGUCUCUUUCCUAAUGAAAGGGCUUGAGUUAAAGUCCCAUGCCUAAUGAAAUCGCUUAUGGUUAAAGUCCCUUGUACAAUAAGAUCUCUUGAGGUUGAAGUGCCUCGCCAAAUGAAAUGGCUUGGGUUAGAGUCCCCUAUCUAAUAAGGUAUGAGGUUAGAGUCCCUUGCCAAAUGUACAGGAAUGUGGUUAGGGUCCCUUGCCUAAAUGAAUGUGUGUGUGUGGUAAGAGUCCCUUGCCUAAAUGAAUAUGCAUGUGUGGUUAGAGUCCCUUGCUUAAAUGGAUAUGUGUGUGGUUAGAAUCCCUUGCUUAAUGAGUGUAUAGAUGGUUAAAGUCCUUAAUUUAAGUAAUAUAUAAAUGUGGUUGAAGUAUUAUACUUAAUAAGAAUUGUUUGAAUCUAAGUGUGGAAGGUCAGAGUCCUUCACUUUAUGUCUCAUGAUUGAGUGCUUUGAGAAUAUUGUUAAGGAUUGUUUACUUGUUUGGCAUGUGAUAUACCUACAUGUAUGGAUAAGGUCAUAAAGAUGGGUAAAUAUAAUAUAUUGACUUGUUGUUGAUUGAUGAUGUUAUUUUAUCCUUAUCCUAGAGUUAGAUGCUAGCGCUCCAAUUGCUAAUCAUCUCCGGAUGUUAUGUCCUUACACGACAUAGGGGUUGUUGACACCUAAUUUUUCCCCUCCACAACUACGUUUAAUCUCGAGUUUCUUCGAUUUUCAAAUAAAAUCACAACAAUUAUUUUUCCAAAUAAAGGCAUUUUAAAAUAGGCAUUUGGGCUAAUUUUGUCAUUUAAGUGAUAAUAAUAUAAUUUCGUAUUUGCAUAUACGAGAUUGUAUAAAUGAUGUCAUUUAAAUGAACAUCUUCAUCAAAUUGGGCUUUAAAUUAAGGAUUAUUUGAAAAAUAAAUAAAUAAUUAUAAUCUUAAUUUAAACAUCAUUUAUUCUGAAAAUAAUUUUGUUUGAUUUUAUCGAAUCAAGAAGUUUGGGGUUAAAACGGGUAUUAAUUCGUAUCGAAUUUAGUCUGUCUAUUAGAUUUGACCAUAAUUGAAAUCAAAUUGGCUAUGAUUGCAAUGCAAUUGACUAAUUAACUUUCAAUUUCGUUUAAAUUUAAAUAGAUGGCUAAAUUAGAACUGAAGUUAUUUCUGAACAACCUUUAGUCCAAUUGGGGUUUAUUUUUCCUAAAUUUAAUCGGGAUUAUUUUAACUUUUAACCCCAAUUAUUAACCCAAUUAAACUAAUACCAAUUGCCCAUUUCUUUUUCUUUUAAACGUUACCAGCCCAAUCCCUCCUAAAUAAUAUACUGCAGCCUCAAUUUGGCCCAAAUAUCCCAAUAAACCGCCCCAGCUAGCCCAACAAUAACAAUUUCUCCAACCAAGACCCCAACCCGGCCCAUUUCUUAUAAUCUUUAACAAUACUGCAGCUUCCAAACAGUGCCCAUAUCAACAACAAUCUCAUGAUCAACAGCUCCUAAAUCGCGAUGCGUCAACAACUUCGAAUCCGAUGAACCCAACCCAUCUAGCUCCACAUUUACCCGCUACCAACCCAUUCGUGGUCUUCCUCACUCCGUCACACUCGAGUCCAUAUGAGAAAGACCUAGAAGCUUCUAGAAAAGUGAUGCAUCAGCCCCUUCUAAUGUUCGAAUCGUAGAUCUUUCGGGUUGAUUGGUACGAUUUCGUACGUAGUUGGGGGAUUUUCAUUGACUAUUGAAUACCAUUUAUUUUUUCGAAAUGGUAUUGGUCCACGUAUUUCAAUUUCUUUGAAAAUUGGCAAUUGAUACCAAUUAUUAGUUGGAAAUUACAUCUUUAGUUGGAAUUUCAAAUUACCUCCACAGAAAAUCCUGAAAUUACCCUCGAUUGGUCUCUGUAGAGAGCUCACUGAUGAGCUGGGAAGGGGUUGGAAUUUUUGGUAGUCUAAAAAGGUUGAAAAAAAUUUAGGGUUUUCGUUUUCAGCUUGAGAGUCUCUUUUAGGGUUGGAGUCCUGGGAGUCAGAAAUUGGGUUUUCGACUUUUGGGGUUCAAAAAUCAGAGUUUGAAGAUCCUGGGGGUCAGGAUUCUUUUUUAUGUUCUCUUCUUUGAGGGUUCAAAUUUUUGUCCAGCAAAUUCUAGGGCCUUUAUUCAGGGAAGACAGAAGCCGUGAGAAACGAAGUUUUUCGAAAGUCGGGUUAGGAACUCUAAAAUCAAAAAGUUAUUUCGCAUAAUUUUCUCGUCACUUCUUUCUGGAAGCUAGUCACUCAAUUGGGAGUACCCGAGUUGACAACAUCAAGUUCCCAGCAAUGAUUACUAUGCUGAUAGCUCGUUUGUUCCAUUUUGCUACCCCGAAGGAGGUAAACAUACUCUUACCCCUUUUAACUUAUCGAUUUCUUCUUUAUCCCUCUUUCUUUAUGGUAAUAUUUGUUUGUUUGUUGAUGAAUAAGGCUGGGUUGUUCGCUGUAAAAAGCCUUAAAGGCCGUAGGUUUUGUGAAAGCAAUGUUGUCUGUAUUGUCUGGUUAUGAUGGUUUUGCCUUAGUUUCUAUUGCUUAUUUUGACAUUGUUGAUUAGUUUUGUCCUGUUUCUUAUUAAGUAUAGUGACCGUUGUGUGGGUCGAUGGUUUAUCAUCUAGAGUUGCUCCUUUGAUGGUCGUUCUAUUAUUUAUCUAAGUGUCAUUGGGUUUCAUUCGUUGUUAUUGUAGUCUAAAGUAUUUAAUGAAAAAUCCAAAGAUCUCUCGACGGUCGUGUCGUUUGAUCGAAAGAGAGGAUUAGAAUGAUUUGAUGACUCAUUCGUUGUGACUGUUUGACAUAGUUUUGGACUGUGUAUUUUCCUACUCAGCUGGUAACAUUGCUAGCAGAGCUGCCUCUCAAGUCUCUUUGGCUUCUCACGUGCCAAAGGGAUAAUGAGUAAGAGCCAAGAUGGGCUAUAAAUGCCUGUGAUUCCUCGAUGAUCAUAUCGGCUACCAAAAGCUUAUCCUUUUGGGUUUGUCGAAAAAAGAGUGAGGAUGAGGAUAGUAGACUUUGCUACGUUUCCAUUUGGUUUAAUGGGUUAUGUCUUUUGCCUCGUCUUAAAACUCGAAUUUUAGACUCCCAUCCUUCCUUGGGUUUCAUCCUCAGUGGGGAGACACAUUAGAAGGAUAAACAUGGUAAUAUUUUGGGGUACUAGAUAUUCGAAUGUGUCCUGUUCAGGGCAGUAGCCUAAUUUUGUUGUUAUCAUACUGCAUAUAAUUUAUGUUCAGGCUAAGGAUUCCCAAGGAUCUUUCUUUGUCAACAAUAAUCAAGAAGGUAGGGAUGAAUUUGCAUUUAUGUUACAUUCAAUAUAGGAUUAGGGAUGGGACAACACAUCAUAACUGUUUGUCUUCAUCCUGAAAUACCUGCUGCCAGGACCUAAUGCGGCAGGUAACUUAAGCACUCUUCCAGAUUCAAUUUUCCAAAUAAAGGCAUUUUAAAAUAGGCAUUUGGGCUAAUUUUGUCAUUUAAGUGAUAAUAAUAUAAUUUCGUAUUUGCAUAUACGAGAUUGUAUAAAUGAUGUCAUUUAAAUGAACAUCUUCAUCAAAUUGGGCUUUAAAUUAAGGAUUAUUUGAAAAAUAAAUAAAUAAUUAUAAUCUUAAUUUAAACAUCAUUUAUUCUGAAAAUAAUUUUGUUUGAUUUUAUCGAAUCAAGAAGUUUGGGGUUAAAACGGGUAUUAAUUCGUAUCGAAUUUAGUCUGUCUAUUAGAUUUGACCAUAAUUGAAAUCAAAUUGGCUAUGAUUGCAAUGCAAUUGACUAAUUAACUUUCAAUUUCGUUUAAAUUUAAAUAGAUGGCUAAAUUAGAACUGAAGUUAUUUCUGAACAACCUUUAGUCCAAUUGGGGUUUAUUUUUCCUAAAUUUAAUCGGGAUUAUUUUAACUUUUAACCCCAAUUAUUAACCCAAUUAAACUAAUACCAAUUGCCCAUUUCUUUUUCUUUUAAACGUUACCAGCCCAAUCCCUCCUAAAUAAUAUACUGCAGCCUCAAUUUGGCCCAAAUAUCCCAAUAAACCGCCCCAGCUAGCCCAACAAUAACAAUUUCUCCAACCAAGACCCCAACCCGGCCCAUUUCUUAUAAUCUUUAACAAUACUGCAGCUUCCAAACAGUGCCCAUAUCAACAACAAUCUCAUGAUCAACAGCUCCUAAAUCGCGAUGCGUCAACAACUUCGAAUCCGAUGAACCCAACCCAUCUAGCUCCACAUUUACCCGCUACCAACCCAUUCGUGGUCUUCCUCACUCCGUCACACUCGAGUCCAUAUGAGAAAGACCUAGAAGCUUCUAGAAAAGUGAUGCAUCAGCCCCUUCUAAUGUUCGAAUCGUAGAUCUUUCGGGUUGAUUGGUACGAUUUCGUACGUAGUUGGGGGAUUUUCAUUGACUAUUGAAUACCAUUUAUUUUUUCGAAAUGGUAUUGGUCCACGUAUUUCAAUUUCUUUGAAAAUUGGCAAUUGAUACCAAUUAUUAGUUGGAAAUUACAUCUUUAGUUGGAAUUUCAAAUUACCUCCACAGAAAAUCCUGAAAUUACCCUCGAUUGGUCUCUGUAGAGAGCUCACUGAUGAGCUGGGAAGGGGUUGGAAUUUUUGGUAGUCUAAAAAGGUUGAAAAAAAUUUAGGGUUUUCGUUUUCAGCUUGAGAGUCUCUUUUAGGGUUGGAGUCCUGGGAGUCAGAAAUUGGGUUUUCGACUUUUGGGGUUCAAAAAUCAGAGUUUGAAGAUCCUGGGGGUCAGGAUUCUUUUUUAUGUUCUCUUCUUUGAGGGUUCAAAUUUUUGUCCAGCAAAUUCUAGGGCCUUUAUUCAGGGAAGACAGAAGCCGUGAGAAACGAAGUUUUUCGAAAGUCGGGUUAGGAACUCUAAAAUCAAAAAGUUAUUUCGCAUAAUUUUCUCGUCACUUCUUUCUGGAAGCUAGUCACUCAAUUGGGAGUACCCGAGUUGACAACAUCAAGUUCCCAGCAAUGAUUACUAUGCUGAUAGCUCGUUUGUUCCAUUUUGCUACCCCGAAGGAGGUAAACAUACUCUUACCCCUUUUAACUUAUCGAUUUCUUCUUUAUCCCUCUUUCUUUAUGGUAAUAUUUGUUUGUUUGUUGAUGAAUAAGGCUGGGUUGUUCGCUGUAAAAAGCCUUAAAGGCCGUAGGUUUUGUGAAAGCAAUGUUGUCUGUAUUGUCUGGUUAUGAUGGUUUUGCCUUAGUUUCUAUUGCUUAUUUUGACAUUGUUGAUUAGUUUUGUCCUGUUUCUUAUUAAGUAUAGUGACCGUUGUGUGGGUCGAUGGUUUAUCAUCUAGAGUUGCUCCUUUGAUGGUCGUUCUAUUAUUUAUCUAAGUGUCAUUGGGUUUCAUUCGUUGUUAUUGUAGUCUAAAGUAUUUAAUGAAAAAUCCAAAGAUCUCUCGACGGUCGUGUCGUUUGAUCGAAAGAGAGGAUUAGAAUGAUUUGAUGACUCAUUCGUUGUGACUGUUUGACAUAGUUUUGGACUGUGUAUUUUCCUACUCAGCUGGUAACAUUGCUAGCAGAGCUGCCUCUCAAGUCUCUUUGGCUUCUCACGUGCCAAAGGGAUAAUGAGUAAGAGCCAAGAUGGGCUAUAAAUGCCUGUGAUUCCUCGAUGAUCAUAUCGGCUACCAAAAGCUUAUCCUUUUGGGUUUGUCGAAAAAAGAGUGAGGAUGAGGAUAGUAGACUUUGCUACGUUUCCAUUUGGUUUAAUGGGUUAUGUCUUUUGCCUCGUCUUAAAACUCGAAUUUUAGACUCCCAUCCUUCCUUGGGUUUCAUCCUCAGUGGGGAGACACAUUAGAAGGAUAAACAUGGUAAUAUUUUGGGGUACUAGAUAUUCGAAUGUGUCCUGUUCAGGGCAGUAGCCUAAUUUUGUUGUUAUCAUACUGCAUAUAAUUUAUGUUCAGUCUAAGGAUUCCCAAGGAUCUUUCUUGGUCAACAAUAAUCAAGAAGGUAGGGAUGAAUUUGCAUUUAUGUUACAUUCAAUAUAGGAUUAGGGAUGGGACAACACAUCAUAACUGUUUGUCUUCAUCCUGAAAUACCUGCUGCCAGGACCUAAUGCGGCAGGUAACUUAAGCACUCUUCCAGAUUCAAAUAUUUUUUUUGUGGCCAGGUGUAAUUAAGCUGUUGUCAUUGUCGAGGUUAUUAUUUUAAGUGAUAGAAAAAGCUAAAAAUUGGAAGAAAAUUGGUUUUCUUCGAAAGGGUAAGAAGUCAGCUACGGCUGCGAAUCAUGAGACAAACAUUAGGGAUCUCGUUCUCCAGGCUACUGUUGUGUGCUUUAUGCUUCGACUUCCUGAUGUUUACCUCCUUGAUAGAAUUUAAUAGCAUGUAAAUGUCUUCAAAACCUCGUCCAUCUGCUGACUAUUAUGUUUAGCUCGACAGAAUUUUGAAAUCAGUUUUCCUUUAGUGGUGUUGUUGGAGUGACCGAACAUGAAUCAUAGGUUAUUCUGAUCAUGAACAUCUCUCAAACAAACUUACAGUAUGUUAUGCAUUAUCUACGUUGUCCCUCAUCAUACGCUCUUGGGUACCAAGCAUGUCGUUUAUGCCAGAAUGUAAAUAAAAGUUUGCAUCAAGACAUCAUUUACUUAGCAUGCUAUUUGACUAUAUGAACACACCCUCAUUCUUUCUAAUUAGUCUUUCCUACAUUUUUGCUUUCUCAUGUGAUCGAGUAUAAGUGGUCGCUCUAUGCUUUAUUUCUUCAAAUGCUCCUACGCUACAUACCUUAUUUAUUUCCUUGAUUGGAUUUUUGUGUUUACAUUUUUCAAUUCCCUUUCUUUUUUUAGUUGAUCAUGUCUUUACAUUCUUUAUCUCUCCUGUUUUGCAUGAAUCCACUGUGGAGUUCAAGUGGACUGUCUCCGGUGCAUCCCUCAUCGGGCCAAUGAGGCCUAUCUUAUUGAGUCCAGUCCAAUGACCUAAAAGUGACCCUGCGGUGAUGAAUACGAGGAGUUAGAAAAAGAAAGGCGAGUUAAAGACCCACAUUUAAAGUGGCUAAGAGACUCCGAAGUCUCAUUUGUUGUUUAAUUUGUUUAAGUAUUAUUGUCUUUAUUUUAUUUUUCUUAUUUAUUCAUCAUUCAUUUGGGCCACAAAUCCAAAGUUUUAUUUAAUACAAUUGGAGCAAGAUUCACCCCAAAGGCUCGAAAACUAGAUUAGGACAAGUGAAAUGGGUUGAAAUCCCAAUUAGAAUAGGACAGGUUUUGUUGAUUUGGGCCCAAUGGCCUAAAUCAUUUACUUUCUCCUCCCUUCCCCUUUUAUUGUUUACUUACUUAUUCAUUUUAUUUAGACUUAGUUUAAAAUCCCUAAUAAGUUGCCUAAAUCUAUUUUAAACAAAUCAUUUUCUAAAACCAAUCACUUUCGACAAAUUAAUCUUUUUCCGAAGUUAGUCAAAAGACGUUUUCAAACAGUCCAGAUAACCGCAAGUUAGCGGACGUUUUAGCUGCCUAACACCUUCCUAAAACGUU